rnacentral:rRNA from 1 species
GACUACCGGGGUAUCUAAUCCUGUUUGCUACCCACGCUUUCGUGCCUCAGUGUCAGUGACAGUCCAGAAGGCCGCCUUCGCCACCGGUGUUCCUCCUAAUAUCUACGCAUUUCACCGCUACACUAGGAAUUCCGCCUUCCUCUCCUGUACUCAAGCUACCCAGUUCGCGGGGCGGACAACGGUUGGGCCGUUGUCUUAAACCCCGCGCUUGAGCAGCCACCUACGCACUCUUUACGCCCAGUAAUUCCGGAUAACGCUUGCCCCCUACGUAUUACCGCGGCUGCUGGCACGUAGUUAGCCGGGGCUUCCUCCAAGGGUACCGUCAUUUUUUUCUUCCCCUUGGACAGAGGUUUACGACCCGAAGGCCUUCUUCCCUCACGCGGCGUCGCUGCAUCAGGCUUUCGCCCAUUGUGCAAUAUUCCCCACUGCAGCCCCCCGUAGG